GUGUUCGCUUCGGCAGCACAUUUUAAAAAAUUGAUUUGAUGCAGAGAAGGUUAGCAUGGCCACCGCGUCGGGUUGACACGCAACUCGUGAAACGACUACUAUUAAU